UCUUCGGAGUGUAUCGACCAAAAAGUAGGUCACUGUGACCUACUUUUGGCAUUUGACAGUUAUAUUUAUAUAUUUCAGUCACUAAUUGACCUACAAUCAUCAAACUUUGACAGUUGAUGCAUCUUGAGUCUACGGAGUGUGUCGACCAAAAAGUAGGUCACCUUGACCUACUUUUGGAAUUGGACGGCUAUAUUUAUAUAUUUUCAGAUACUAUUUGACCUACAGUCAUCAAACUUUGUCAGUUGUUGGGUCUUGCAUGUUCGAAGGGUUUCAACCAAAAAGUAGGUCACCUUGACCUACUUUUGGAAUUGGA